AGUGAACGCUGGCGGUAGGCCUAACACAUGCAAGUCGAACGGCAGCACAGUAAGAGCUUGCUCUUACGGGUGGCGAGUGGCGGACGGGUGAGGUAUACAUCGGAAUCUACUUUUUCGUGGGGGAUAACGUAGGGAAACUUACGCUAAUACCGCAUACGACCUACGGGUGAAAGCACGGGAUCUUCGGACCUUGCGCGAUUGAAUGAGCCGAUGUCGGAUUAGCUAGUUGGCGGGGUAAAGGCCCACCAAGGCGACGAUCCGUAGCUGGUAUGAGAGGAUGAUCAGCCACACUGGAAGUGAGAAACGGUCCAGACUCCUACGGGAGGCAGCAGUGGGGAAUAUUGGACAAUGGGGGAAAGCCUGAUCCAGCCAUACCGCGUGAGUGAAGAAGGCCUUCGGGUUGUAAAGCCCUUUUGUUGGGAAAGAAAAGCAGCAGGUUAAUACCCCGCUGUUCUGACGGUACCCAAAGAAUAAGCACCGGCUAACUUCGUG
rnacentral:rRNA from 1 species